rnacentral:rRNA from 1 species
GAAUAUUGGACAAUGGGGGAAACCCUGAUCCAGCAAUGCCGCGUGGGUGAUGAAGGCCUUCGGGUUGUAAAGCCCUUUUGGCGGGGACGAUGAUGACGGUACCCGCAGAAUAAGCCCCGGCUAACUUCGUUCCAGCAGCCGCGGUAAUACGAAGGGGGCUAGCGUUGUUCGGAAUUACUGGGCGUAAAGGGCGCGCAGGCGGCUUUGUAAGUUGGGCGUGAAAGGCCUGGGCUUAACCCGGGAAUGGCGCUUGAGACUGCAAGGCUCGAGUACGGGAGAGGAUGGUGGAAUUCCCAGUGUAGAGGUGAAAUUCGUAGAUAUUGGGAAGAACACCGGUGGCGAAGGCGGCCGUCUGGACCGUAACUGACGCUGAGGCGCGAAAGCGUGGGGAGCAAACAGG